UACGUAGGGUGCGAGCGUUAAUCGGAAUUACUGGGCGUAAAGUGUGCGCAGGCGGCCGCGCAAGUCGAGUGUGAAAGCCCCGGGCUUAACUUGGGAAUUGCGCUCGAAACUACGUGGCUGGAGUGUGGCAGAGGAAGGUGGAAUUCCAGGUGUAGCGGUGAAAUGCGUAGAGAUCUGGAGGAACACCGAUGGCGAAGGCAGCCUUCUGGGCCAACACUGACGCUCAUGCACGAAAGCGUGGGGAGCAAACAGGA
rnacentral:rRNA from 1 species